ensembl:snRNA U2 U2 spliceosomal RNA
AUCACUUCUUGGCCUUUUGGCUAAGAUCAAGUGUAGUAUCUGUUCUUAUCAGUUUAAUAUCUGAUAUGUCCUCUAUUUGAGGACAAUAUAUUAAGUGGAUUUUUGGAAGUAGGAGUUGGAAUAGGAGCUUGCUCUGUCCAUUCCAUGAAUUGACCUGUUAUUGCAGUACCUCCAGGAACGGUGCACCCACU